rnacentral:rRNA from 1 species
CACGUAGGGGGCGAGCGUUGUCCGGAUUUAUUGGGCGUAAAGAGCUCGUAGGCGGCUUAGUAAGUCGGGUGUGAAACCUCCAGGCUCAACCUGGAGACGCCACCCGAUACUGCUAUAGCUUGAGUCCGGUAGGGGAGCGUGGAAUUCCUGGUGUAGCGGUGAAAUGCGCAGAUAUCAGGAGGAACACCAGCGGCGAAGGCGGCGCUCUGGGCCGGUACUGACACUGAGGAGCGAAAGCGUGGGGAGCAAACAGG